rnacentral:rRNA from 1 species
GAUGAACGCUGGCGGCGUGCCUAAUACAUGCAAGUCGAGCGAACAGACGAGGAGCUUGCUCCUCUGACGUUAGCGGCGGACGGGUGAGUAACACGUGGAUAACCUACCUAUAAGACUGGGAUAACUUCGGGAAACCGGAGCUAAUACCGGAUAAUAUAUUGAACCGCAUGGUUCAAUAGUGAAAGACGGUUUUGCUGUCACGUAUAGAUGGAUCCGCGCCGCAUUAGCUAGUUGGGAAGGUAACGGCUUACCAAGGCAACGAUGCGUAGCCGACCUGAGGGGGUGAUCGGCCACACUGGAACUGAGCCACGGUCCAGACUCCUACGGGAGGCAGCAGUAGGGAAUCUUCCGCAAUGGGCGAAAGCCUGACGGAGCAACGCCGCGUGAGUGAUGAAGGUCUUCGGAUCGUAAAACUCUGUUAUUAGGGAAGAACAAAUGUGUAAGUAACUAUGCACGUCUUGACGGUACCUAAUCAGAAAGCCACGGCUAACUACGUG